ACUCUGACCAGCCAUGCCGCGUGCAGGAAGACUGCCCUAUGGGUUGUAAACUGCUUUUAUCCGGGAAUAAACCUUUCUACGUGUAGGAAGCUGAAUGUACCGGAAGAAUAAGGAUCGGCUAACUCCGUGCCAGCAGCCGCGGUAAUACGGAGGAUCCAAGCGUUAUCCGGAUUUAUUGGGUUUAAAGGGUGCGUAGGCGGCCUGUUAAGUCAGGGGUGAAAGACGGUAGCUCAACUAUCGCAGUGCCCUUGAUACUGAUGGGCUUGAAUGGACUAGAGGUAGGCGGAAUGAGACAAGUAGCGGUGAAAUGCAUAGAUAUGUCUCAGAACACCGAUUGCGAAGGCAGCUUACUAUGGUCUUAUUGACGCUGAGGCACGAAAGCGUGGGGAUCAAACAGGAUUAGAUACCCUGGUAGUCCACGCCCUAAACGAUGAACACUCGCUGUUGGCGAUACACAGUCAGCGGCUAAGCGAAAGCGUUAAGUGUUCCACCUGGGGAGUACGCCCGCAAGGGUGAAACUCAAAGGAAUUGACGGGGGCCCGCACAAGCGGAGGAGCAUGUGGUUUAAUUCGAUGAUACGCGAGGAACCUUACCCGGGCUUGAAAGUUAGUGAAUGAUUUAGAGAUAGAUCAGUG
rnacentral:rRNA from 1 species